rnacentral:pre_miRNA from 1 species
AGCCUUCUGUGUCCCUGCUGAGAUUUCGUCAAACACCAGACCACAAGGGCUGAUGAGACUUCCAAGAUAAGUGAAGCG